rnacentral:rRNA from 1 species
AUACGUAGGGAGUGAGCGUUGUCCGGAAUUACUGGGCGUAAAGGGCGCGUAGGCGGCGCUUCAAGUCGUCUGUCAAAUGGGAGGGCUUAACCCUUUUUCGCAGACGAAACUGGAGAGCUUGAGAAGCAGAGAGGCAAACAGAAUUCCUGGUGUAGCGGUGAAAUGCGUAGAUACCAGGAAGAAUACCAGUGGCGAAGGCGGUUUGCUGGCUGCAUACUGACGCUGAAGCGCGAAAGCCAGGGGAGCGAACGGGAUUAGAUACCCCGGUAGUCCUGGCAGUAAACGAUGUAUGCUGGGUGUGAGACUAGCGAUAGUUUCGUGCCGAAGUUAACGCGAUAAGCAUACCGCCUGGGGAGUACGGUCCCAAGAUUGAAACUCAAAUGAAUUGACGGGG